AUGCCAUUUAAUGAGAAAACCACAGGCUCCAUUCUGGGUUUUUGCACUUCCUAUCUAGGCAAAAUUGGUGAAGGCAAUCAAAGAGUACAAAUUUCCAAUUAUAAGAUGAAUAAGUUCUGGGGAUCUUUUGGGUUUUGGUUUGCAUACUUUCCUAGUCUAACUAGAACACAGGCCUCUUAUUACAAAUACUUUGACCCAAACCACCCUUGCUAUGGUAUAGUUUCUUGGCAUGCCCACGGAGUUGUGGAGCCAAAAAAUCCAGUUGAGAAAAGAGCUUAGCCAAAUGAGAAAUCAAAAGCAACUCCAAAAGGUCUUCUUUCCUACUUCUCUUGGCUUUAUCGGAAUUAUCUGUUUACUCACUUCCUUGCUUACUUGUUUAUUUCUUUUCUCUCCCACUAGACUGCAAGCUCUAGGAUCAAAGACAUAGGUCUAUCUUGUUUACCACUGUUUUCACCGAAUAUUAACAGGGUGACCCAGUUCUACUGAGCAUUGACCACAUACCUACUGAUUUAAGUGAAUGGAUGGAUAAAAGGGCUCUGAUAUCAUUUUCUCUAUGGAGAUUCCUGAAUUCCCCUAAGCCCAACAACAGGUAUGUACUAGAAGGAAUAUGAUGUCUCAUUCAGCCAGUUGUGAUCGUGGCAGAUGGGAAUUUUUCAGAUGCAAGAGUAUUUAAGAACUCUUUUGAGGGGUUAUGGGGAAUGAGAAGGAGUGGGCUGGGAUAACGACCUGACAGUUGGGCACCAGCCUAAUCAAGUAAGUUUGAGUCCUUUCUUCAAACUAUGCAUUUACUAAACCAACUGCGCUGAAAUUUGGUUUGUGAGGCCUUGAGUGUAUUUUUUUCCUCCAUACAUCUUCUUUUUUUUUUUCUAGGGCCACAGCCAUAACACAUGGAGGUCCCCAGGCUAGGGGUAGAAUCGGAGCUGUAGCCGCUGGCCUAUGCCACAGCCAGAGCAACUCAGGAUCUGAGCCGCAUCCGCGAUCUACACCACAGCUCACGGCAAGCCCGGAUCCUUAACCCAUUGAGUGAGGCCAGGGAUCGAACACGCAACCUCAUGGUUCCUAGUCGGAUUCAUUAACCAGGGAGCCAUGAAGGGAACUCCUCCAUACAUUUUCUUAAAGUUGUUUAAUGAGUGUACUUUUUGAAGGGUGGAGAAAAAUAGAAUGAAUCAUAAUUGUUCCAAGUAUUUAUUAAGCACCUAUUACAUGCUCAGCUCCCCAAUAAACAGAAUUGGAAAGGCA
rnacentral:lncRNA from 1 species